rnacentral:rRNA from 1 species
CCAAUAGCGUAUAUUAAAGUUGUUGCAGUUAAAAAGCUCGUAGUUGAAUUUCGGAGUUUGUCGGUUGGUCGGGCUUCACUGUCCGCACUGACCUGAUGGAUUCCUACCUUCUGAAUAACCAGCAUGCUAUUAAGUUAGUGCGUUGGGGAAGCAGAGUUAUUACCUUGAAAAAAUUAGAGUGCUUAAAGCAGGCUUAUGCUUGAAUAGAUUAGCAUGGAAUAAUAAAAUAGGACGGCAUGGUUCUAUUUUGUUGGUUUCUAGGAUCACCGUAAUGAUUAAUAGGGAUAGUUGGGGGCAUUAGUAUUCAAUUGUCAGAGGUGAAAUUCUUGGAUUUAUUGAAGACUAACUUCUGCGAAAGCAUUUGCCAAGGAUGUUUUCAUUAAUCAAGAACGAAAGUUAGGGGAUCGAAGACGAUCAGAUACCGUCGUAGUCUUAACCAUAAACUAUGCCGACUAGGGAUCGGACGAUGUUAAUUUUUUAAUGACUCGUUCGGCGCCUUACG